CCCUCGAGCCCCUCCUCCAUGUUCCUUAGGAAGAGUGUUGUGUGUUUUUUUCCGUCUGUACUUCGAAAGUGGGAAGUUGCAGCAAAUCUCAGCUCCGUUUUCCAUCCGCUACAGACCGGGCACGAUUACCUGAGAAGGAUCAUCUAUGACCCCAUGUUAGAGGCUGGAGUUACUACAGAAUAGUCCAGGGACAUUAUCCCAUUUGAACCCCACAAUGACCCUGUGAGACCGACAGGGAUCAGCAGCCCCACUCUAUGGAUGAAGAAAUUGAUCUUCAAAUUGUGGUGCAGCUGAUACCGAGAGCAAGUAAUGUUCACUCUUGGACGUUUAGUACCCCUUGGAGAUUUGUGGCCUGCACCAGCGGGCUGAAACUUUCCUGUUCCCCGCUUCCAUAUCCUCCCAACUUUGAGCCCCUCAUCUGGAUUCCCCCUGCCCCUACGUGGGUCCUGCCUGCUGGGAGAAGACCAUACC